UGGUUUUGAUUUGAAAGGCGCUUUCGGGUGUCGCUGAUGGAUGGACCCGCGGUGCAUUAGCUAGUUGGUGAGGUAACGGCUCACCAAGGCCACGAUGCAUAGCCGACCUGAGAGGGUGAUCGGCCACAUUGGGACUGAGACACGGCCCAAACUCCUACGGGAGGCAGCAGUAGGGAAUCUUCGGCAAUGGACGAAAGUCUGACCGAGCAACGCCGCGUGAGUGAAGAAGGUUUUCGGAUCGUAAAACUCUGUUGUUAGAGAAGAACAAGGAUGAGAGUAACUGUUCAUCCCUUGACGGUAUCUAACCAGAAAGCCACGGCUAACUACGUGCCAGCAGCCGCGGUAAUACGUAGGUGGCAAGCGUUGUCCGGAUUUAUUGGGCGUAAAGCGAGCGCAGGCGGUUUCUUAAGUCUGAUGUGAAAGCCCCCGGCUCAACCGGGGAGGGUCAUUGGAAACUGGGAGACUUGAGUGCAGAAGAGGAGAGUGGAAUUCCAUGUGUAGCGGUGAAAUGCGUAGAUAUAUGGAGGAACACCAGUGGCGAAGGCGGCUCUCUGGUCUGUAACUGACGCUGAGGCUCGAAAGCGUGGGGAGCAAACAGGAUUAGAUACCCUGGUAGUCCACGCCGUAAACGAUGAGUGCUAAGUGUUGGAGGGUUUCCGCCCUUCAGUGCUGCAGCUAACGCAUUAAGCACUCCGCCUGGGGAGUACGACCGCAAGGUUGAAACUCAAAGGAAUUGACGGGGGCCCGCACAAGCGGUGGAGCAUGUGGUUUAAUUCGAAGCAACGCGAAGAACCUUACCAGGUCUUGACAUCCUUUGACCACUCUAGAGAUAGAGCUUCCCCUUCGGGGGCAAAGUGACAGGUGGUGCAUGGUUGUCGUCAGCUCGUGUCGUGAGAUGUUGGGUUAAGUCCCGCAACGAGCGCAACCCUUAUUGUUAGUUGCCAUCAUUCAGUUGGGCACUCUAGCAAGACUGCCGGUGACAAACCGGAGGAAGGUGGGGAUGACGUCAAAUCAUCAUGCCCCUUAUGACCUGGGCUACACACGUGCU
rnacentral:rRNA from 1 species